GAAUCCUGACACAGGGAGGUAGUGACAAGAAAUAACAAUACAGGGCUACUUCUAGUCUUGUAAUUGGAAUGAGUACAACUUACAUCUCUUCACGAGGAUCAAUUGGAGGGCAAGUCUGGUGCCAGCAGCCGCGGUAAUUCCAGCUCCAAUAGCGUAUAUUAAAGUUGUUGCAGUUAAAAAGCUCGUAGUCGGAUUUCGGGUCGGGCCGAGCGGUCUGCCGAUGGGUAUGCACUGUUCGGCGCGGCCUUCUUUCCGGAGACCGCGGCUACUCUUAACUGAGCGGGCGYGGGAGACGGAUCGUUUACUUUGAAAAAAUCAGAGUGUUUCAAGCAGGCAGCUCGCUCUUGCAUGGAUUAGCAUGGGAUAAUGAAAUAGGACUCUGGUGCUAUUUUGUUGGUUUCGAACACCGGAGUAAUGAUUAACAGGGACAGUCAG
rnacentral:rRNA from 1 species